rnacentral:rRNA from 1 species
CCUACGGGUGGCAGCAGUGGGGGAUAUUGCACAAUGGGGGAAACCCUGAUGCAGCGACGCCGCGUGGGCGAAGAAGUAUUUCGGGAUGUAAAGCCCUAUCAGCAGGGAAGAAGAAAUGACGGUACCUGAGAAAGAAGCACCGACGAAAUAAGUGCGAGCAGCCGCGGUAAUACGGAUGGUGCAAGCGUUAUCCGGAUUUACUGGGUGGAAAGGGAGCGCAGGCGGCAAGGCAAGCCUGAUGUGAAAGCCCGCGGGCCAACCGCGGGACUGCAUUGGGAACUACCGGGCUGGAGUGCCGUAGAGGUAGGCGGAAUUCCUAGUGUAGCGGUGAAAUGCGUAGAUAUUAGGAGGAACACC